rnacentral:rRNA from 1 species
AAAUUGAAGAGUUUGAUCAUGGCUCAGAUUGAACGCUGGUGGCAGGCCUAACACAUGCAAGUCGAACGGUAACAGGAAGCAGCUUGCUGCUUUGCUGACGAGUGGCGGACGGGUGAGUAAUGUCUGGGAAACUGCCUGAUGGAGGGGGAUAACUACUGGAAACGGUGGCUAAUACCGCAUAAUGUCGCAAGACCAAAGAGGGGGACCUUCGGGCCUCUUGCCAUCAGAUGUGCCCAGAUGGGAUUAGCU